AUUGAACGCUGGCGGCAUGCCUUACACAUGCAAGUCGAACGGUAACAGGUCUUCGGAUGCUGACGAGUGGCGUACGGGUGAGUAAUACAUCGGAACGUGCCCGAUCGUGGGGGAUAACGCAGCGAAAGCUGUGCUAAUACCGCAUACGAUCUACGGAUGAAAGCGGGGGAUCGCAAGACCUCGCGCGGACGGAGCGGCCGAUGGCAGAUUAGGUAGUUGGUGGGAUAAAAGCUUACCAAGCCGACGAUCUGUAGCUGGUCUGAGAGGACGACCAGCCACACUGGGACAGAGGCACGGCCCAGACUCCUACGGGAGGCAGCAGUGGGGAAUUUUGGACAAUGGGGGAAAGCCUGAUCCAGCCAUGCCGCGUGCAGGAUGAAGGCCUUCGGGUUGUAGACUGCUUUUGUACGGAACGAAAAAGCUCUCUCUAAUACAGGAGGUGAAUGACGGUACCGUAAGAAUAAGCACCGGCUAACUACGUG
rnacentral:rRNA from 1 species